rnacentral:rRNA from 1 species
CUUCGGUUGAUCCCGCCGGACCUGACUGCUAUCGGAUUGGUACUAAGCCAUGCGAGUCGUUGUAGCAAUACAAGGCGGACGGCUCAGUAACACGUAGUCAACCUAACCUAUGGACGUGGAUAACCUCGGGAAACUGAGAAUAAACCGCGAUAGAUCAUUAUGCCUGGAAUGGCUUAUGGUUCAAACAAUUUAUUGCCGUAGGAUGGGACUGCGGCCUAUCAGCUUGUUGGUGAGGUAAUGGCCCACCAAGGCUAUAACAGGUACGGGCUCUGAGAGGAGAAGCCCGGAGAUGGGUACUGAGACACGGACCCAGGCCCUAUGGGGCGCAGCAGGCGAGAAACCUUAGCAAUGUGCGAAAGCACGACUAGGUUAAUCCGAGUGAUUUCUGUUGAAGAAAUCUUUUGUCAGUCGUAAAACCACAGACGAAUAAGGGGUGGGCAAGUCUGGUGUCAGCCGCCGCGGUAAUACCAGCACCUCGAGUGGUCAGGAGGUUUAUUGGGCCUAAAGCAUCCGUAGCCGGCUACGCAAGUCUCCGGUUAAAUCCAGCUGCUCAACAGAUGGGCUGCCGGAGAUACUACAUAGCUAGGGAGCGGGAGAGGUAGACGGUAUUCUGUGGGUAGGGGUAAAAUCCACUGAUCCAUAGAGGACCACCAGUGGCGAAGGCGGUCUACCAGAACGCGUUCGACGGUGAGGGAUGAAAGCUGGGGGAGCGAACCGGAUUAGAUACCCGGGUAGUCCCAGCCGUAAACGAUGCAAGCUAGAUGAUCCGAUCGCAGUUCGCGAUCGGAGUGUCGCAGGGAAGCCGUUAAGCUUGCCGCCUGGGGAGUACGGUCGCAAGGCUGAAACUUAAAGGAAUGGCGGGGGAGCA